GGGUGGUGUAGUGGGAGUUCGUCCGUCGGGGAAAUUCGGUCAGCACUGUGGGAAUCCGGCUGUUGGAGAAGUCCGAGGAGAUACCAUCUACGGUCGAAAGCCGGAGGAGUCUCGGGAGGGUCAAUCCUGUUAAGAACUUCGGCUGAGGGUUUUUUAUACCCAACAAAACCCUUUGCCACAACCUAGCUUUGUAGGUUCUACUUGGCCAUCUGCUCUGAUC
rnacentral:lncRNA from 1 species